rnacentral:tRNA from 6 species
GGCCAGGUAGCUCAGUUGGUACGAGCGUCCGCCUGAAAAGCGGAAGGUCGCCGGUUCGAUCCCGGCCCUGGCCACC